AUCAGCUUGUUGGUGGGGUAACGGCCCACCAAGGCGACGACGGGUAGCCGGCCUGAGAGGGCGACCGGCCACACUGGGACUGAGACACGGCCCAGACUCCUACGGGAGGCAGCAGUGGGGAAUAUUGCACAAUGGGCGAAAGCCUGAUGCAGCGACGCCGCGUGAGGGAUGACGGCCUUCGGGUUGUAAACCUCUUUCAGCUCCGACGAAGCGAAAGUGACGGUAGGAGCAGAAGAAGCACCGGCCAAC
rnacentral:rRNA from 1 species